UUUAGUAAAGGAACAGAGAUGCAUCACAGAUUUCAUCACUUGUCUUGGCAUUUUUUAAAAGUCUGAUCAACUUUGUUUUCUGGUGCUCAGAACAGGGUUUUUUCACCAGUAAACCUGGAGUAAGCAGUACAUUGAGUGGCGAGCGGAAAUUGUUGACACUUUACUUCCACAAUGUUUUGUGGUGACACCAGACUUGAUACUUCUUUUGGAAAUGUUUUGACCAAAAAUAAUAAACAACAUAUUACGGCCGGUUUAAUAAUUAAUUCAUAGAACAAACUGCACACAUUCACACGUUCAGAGGAGCCUGAAUGAUGACAUCGUCACUGAUAAACCCCACAUGCACACAACUCAUAAUCGUUCAGUUGUAGUCACUCAGAUAUACAGCACAUGCAAUGUGACGAUGACUGUAUACCACCGCCUAGGUUUCAGUCAUGUCACCAAUUAACCUGGAAGUGGAAGUGUAUUUAAACGGCAUACCGGAAGUCAGAGAGAAGUGUGGGAGAGAGGAGUAAUGAGUUGGGUGGUAAAGGUUUUUUUUGUAUGCCAGAAAGAGGACGUUUUUGCCACAGCGUGUGAGAAGUCUGAGCGUCACGAACGCCAACACAUGGGGAACUAGUCUGCGUGUUAUCCGGUGAUCGGACUUGCAAAUGGAUUACUUACGGAUGUAAGAAGUUGCGGGACUCUCAGACAUUGUCUGCUGUGUGGCGCUCGUGCUGGAAAGCUCCAAAGACAUGUUUUGCUUGGAUUCGGCGUGUUAUCUGCUGAUCGGACUUGCAAAUGGAUUACUUACGGAUGUAAGAAGUUGUGGGACUCUCAGACAUCGUCUGCUGUGUUGCGCUUGUGCUGGAAAGCUCCAAAGACACGUUUUGCUUGGAUUCGGCGUGUUAUCCGCUGAUCGGACUUGCAAAUGGAUUACUUACGGAUGUAAGAAGUUGCGGGACUUUCAGACAUCGUCUGCUGUGUUGCGCUCGUGCUGGUCCCCGAGGUACUUGUUCUAAACUCUUCUUCCCCUGACCUAAGAGGUUUUUCUGUUUUUUUGUAUGAGUUGUUGGUGAUGUGGUGCACCUUAAGUGAUCUACUUUGAAUACUACAAAUAUUGGGGUAACAGUGUUUGUUUUUCAGCAGUACUCAUUUCCUGAUAUACACAUACACACACCCACACACAUCUUAAACAUAAACCACCCCAAUGGCCACACAUCCCCCUUCACAAUCCCCUAUGGUGGAUAUUGAUUCCUCUCCUGAUAUUUCCACACCUGGUGGACUCCCAGGACUCGAAAGAUUGCAAAAUAUAAAACAACCACAGUGUGAUUUAACUUUUUGCUCUUCAACUGCAAUGCAACCCAGGCCACAACACGGAUCUUAUGUCCGUUUUGCUUCCAUGCCACUAGAUGGUAGUCUUCGGGAGGGUAGCCUUCCGGUUCAAGAUCGAGCUUCGGAGCAGUAAAGUGACCCUGACCGCAUGCAAUUGUGUACAUCUGAUUAAACCUCAGUAACCUCCUCAGGAAUGCAAUAUGAUUUGCCUGUCUUCCAGCCUAAUUUAUUAGCUACACCUGGAAAAGAAGUGUAUAAUCUUACAACUCGGGUACAAGGGAAUUUGGAUUAUUUAUUGCAAUGUCAGACCUAAAAGACCAUGAGUGAAAUUAACAAUGAAUUAAAACAGGUCAAGUCUAACUAUAGUGGACAACUGAAUGCUCUUACUUCGGAAAUGGAGGCUAAUCAUCAGCAAAUUCUCACCACUUUCACGGCCGUUAAACAACAGAGGGAACAAAAGGAUACAGAAGCUGAUCAAUUAAUGAAAGCCAUGAGAGUAUUACUAUCAGAGUCACUGCAGAACACUGAUACAACCUUGAGUAAUGUUUUGCGCUUUAUGAUCGAACAGCUUCAAGAAGAGUUGCAACAAGAGAUCAAAACCACUCGACAGAUUCAUCAAAAAGAACAAGAGCAGCUCUCGGCAGAAGUUUACAGAGGCAACCUAAAAAUGGAUGAGGUAUUCAAUAAGAUAACAGAAUUUCAAGGUGAAAUGAAGAACAAUUUUCACGCUCAAGAAAAAGCCCUUGCAAACAUGCAAAAAGUUAUAAUGUCAUCUAAGCCAAGCUCUGUUCAACUCACUCCUGUUGCCCAUUUGCCUACUACUGCUGCUGAUCGUGUACCUGGUACCACUGCCCAAUUACACUCUUCUACUAUAAAAAGUGAUCAUCUGAAGGUAGUUUUUCCUACUUUUGGAAAACCAACUGAUGAUAGAGACCCUUUACUAUUUUUGGCAAAGUGUCAGGACUUCUUAGCUUUGCAUCCUUUGUCAGAUGCUGAUAUGAUGGCAACUUUUCGUACUGUCCUGCAUGACACAGCAAGAGACUGGUGGGAAGUCGCUCGGUCAUCCAUAAAUACUUGGAAUGAAUUUGAAACAGCAUUUCGUUCAGCCUUUUUGUCAGAGGACUAUGAAGAUGAAUUAGCAGAACGAGUUCGUACCCGAACACAAGGGGAAAAUGAGCCAAUUCGGUAUUUUGCUUUCACUUACAGAGCAGUGUGCAAAAGGUGGAAGUCAACCCUAACAAAAGCAGAGAUAGUGAAGAUGGUACUCAAGAAUGUAAAACCACACCUCGCCAGUCAGUUACGUAGCCGCGUUAGUGCAGUGGAGGACCUUGUAAAAUUGGGUCAUCAACUAGAAAAAGACUACGAUCAGCAAUUGCAGUAUGCAUCAGGCCAAAAUCGGAAAACAAUUCCAGAUAGGUCAUCCAAGUCUCCAAACAGAUUUGAUCACAAUGUGCCUUCUGUAUGUUGCUGGAGAUGUAAGGGUCACCAUGCUCAAGGGAAUUGUCCUCAUUAUGCAGCCCCUUCUAACCGGCCGGAUAACCACCCAUCUGGAAAUAAAAGGUCUUUUCCAAACUCUAGACCUGGACAUCAGACUUCCAACACUGCUGUCACUGCUACCGCUAAACCUAAACCAACAAAGACCAAAAAUUCAAGCUCUUUACCAGCUGCUACUCACUCUCCUAUCGUCCCACCUCAAUUAGUUGUCCCGGUCUGCAUCAGCAGUUGGUCAGGAAAAGCUAUAGUAGACACAGGAGUAAGUUACACGAUGAUUCACGAGAAUUUGUGGAAAAAACUUACCCCUGCGAAGAAUUUGCAGCCUUGGACUUUAGGACCUUUGUAUCUGGCAAAUGGAGAAGAAGACAUUCCUGGAGGAUGGAUACACCAAAAAAUCUGCCUCUAUGAUCAUGCAUUCACCCUGCCUAUUGCUGUCAAACCCCCACCCUCAAAAGCCCUUGCUUAUUCAGUGGUCCUAGGAUUAGACUUCAUCUUCUUCAGUGGCAUGCAACUCAAUGUCAUUGAUGGACAAUAUUCAUUUAAGUCAAAACCAGAAGAACAUCAUCUGUUCCAACCUGGAAACGCCACAGUGCCUGCAAGUGGUCAAACCAAAAAUACUGCACGAAGUGCCAAGAAUCUUAAAAGCCUAUCUUUGCUAAGCGCUAUUCCCCCUCCACAACCUAAACUCAUACUGUCAACUCGUGACAACACCAAUGAAAAAGUCUUGAUUGAGAAUGCUGUGAAUAAUGCCCCCUAUCUCUCAAAGGCAAAGAACAUUUGCAAGAAAUCUUGGAGAGCAACACACAACACGUACACUCCAACUGGGGCGAACUGAUGUUCUGCUAAAUUGCAUCUACACAAACCAGCAAGUACCUAUUAAACAGAGGUCCCCUGGCAAACAAACUCUAGUCAAAGAGCAACUGGAAGAAAUGCUAAAGGCAGGACUUGUGGAGCCAUCAAGCUCAGGCUGGGCCUCCCCAGUGGUGUUGGUUCCCAAGAAGGAUGGUAGUAUGAGAUUCUGCGUUGACUACAGGAAGCUUAAUGCCAUAACUCAAAGCGACGCAUAACCCAUUCCUCACAUUGCAGAAAUCCUUGAAUCCCUUGCCGGUGCAGGUAUUUUCUCCACUAUAGACCUCAAUAGUGGUUACUGGCAGGUAGCCAUGGAGCCUUCCAGUAAACCAAUGACUGCUUUCAUCACCCAUAUAGGACUCUUUCAGUUUAAUAUUAUGCUAUUUGGAUGUAAAAACGCUCCUGCCACCUUCCAGCGGUUAAUGGAGACUGUAUUAGGAGAAUUGUGUGGAAAGAUGUGCUUUGUCUACAUCGAUGAUAUAAUCAUUUUCUCUGAAAACUUGACUCAACAUUUACAAGACCUCCAAAUUGUCUUUCAAAGACUACAAAACGCAGAAUUGACCAUUAACCUCAAAAAAAGUAAAUUCUGCCUUCAAGAGAUUUCAUUCCUGGGACAUGUAGUUAGUACCAAAGGAAUCAUGGCAGACCCAAGUCAAAUUGAGGCCAUUCGAGCUUACCCAGUACCCACAAACCUCAAAGAGGUACAACGGUUCCUUGGACUGGCUGGGUGGUACCAUCGGUUCGUUCCGAACUUCUCACAAAUCACGGAACCCAUUAAUGCUCUGAAAAGGAAGGGGAAAACAUUUCAGUGGUCAGACCAAUGCCAGCGACAUCGGUCUGGGAGCUGUGUUAACCCAAAGAAAAGAACACGGGACAGAAGAAGUCAUUCCUUAUGCAAGCAGAACUCUUACCAAAGCAGAGAUAAUAAACUAUUCUGCUACAGAGAAGGAAUGUCUGGCUGUGGUUUGGGCUCUCGAGAAAUAGCAAUAUUAUCUGGAGCAUAGAUUGUUCACCAUAGUGACUGAUCAUUCUGCCCUUCUAUGGGUUAUGACCUCUAACAAAACCACAAGUUGGCUCAUUCGAUGGGCUCUACGGUUGCAAAAAUUUGACUUUAUCGUUGAGUACAGGAAGGGCAGAUUGAAUGCCGCCCCAGAUGCCCUCUCUAGAAUAUCCAAUUUAUCAGCAUGCAGUGUUUUUACCAGCCAGGAAAGUGAGACUCCUUUUCCAAUUACAGCUGUAAACCUAUGGGAAGAACAACAUAAGGACCCCGAGAUUGAAAGGAUCUUCAAAACCAUAGCAAACAAUGAGAAUGAAGCCCCAGAAUUGUGCGAGAUUGUCAAGGACAUAUUGUACAUCAAGACACAACUGCCAAAAGGUCCAGUUCUAUACAGAAUGUACUUACCCAAAACACUUAUACCUACAAUCCUACAGCAUUACCAUGCACAUCCGUUGAGUGGACACGGAGGUAUCUAUAAAACUUACAAAUGCCUACAGAAUGUAGUCUACUGGCCAAAAAUGUGGACUGAUGUUAAGAAUUAUGUCAAGUGCUGUGUCAAGUGUCAAAAACACAAGUUUGAAAAUCGAAAACCUGCUGGUAAAUUGCAAGCCAUAACAACACCCAGGCCUAAUGAAAUGUUAGGAGUGGACAUCAUGGGACCGUUACCGAGCAGCAGUCCACACCGCCAAGAAUACCUUUUAGUUUGUGUGGACUAUUUCUCACGCUGGGUUGAAAUGUUCCCCAUGCGUAAAGCAGGUGCCCAGUCCAUUGCUACGGAAAGACAUUAUUAUCCGUUGGGGUGUGCCAGACUACCUCCUGUCAGAUCGAGGAACCCAAUUUGUUUCAUCACUUUUCAAGGAACUAUGUGCACAGUGGAAUAUUACACAAAAACUGACAACUGCAUAUCACCCCCAAACUAACAUGACCGAGAGAAUUAAUCGCACCCUCAAGUGUAUGAUCGCCUCUUAGCUUGAUGGAAACCACAAAAAAUGGGACCAAUUCCUACCUGAGCUCCGCUUUGCUCUAAAUUCAUCACUCCAAGAAAGUAUCGGGAUGUCACUAGCGGAACGUCAACUGGGUCGGAAGCUUCAAGGACCAUUAGACAAACUGCUCAAAAGUCAGAAAAGGGAUCUUUCACCCUGUGACCCACCUUAUGAUGUAGUAAGCCACAUAGCCCAACUGCAAGAGAGAGCAAAAGAAAAUUGUGCCCAAGCCAAAAAACGCCAACUCAGAAACUACAACAAAAACCGACGUGAAUUGAUCUUCAAAGAACAAGCUCGUGUCUGGCUAAGGAAUUUCCCACAGUCCAGUGCUCAACACAACUUUAGUGCAAAGCUUGCCCCCAAAUGGAAAGGGCCCUACAGAGUCAUCAGGCAAUUGGGUCCAGUAAAUUAUCAAGUAGCUUUGGAGACCACUGGGGAAGAUGUCAGAACAACGCACGUCGUAAAUCUAAAACCUUGCUAUCCCACAGCCAAUGACAUGGAAAUGUAUGGGAAGCAAAGACUUCAGGAAAUCUUCCAAGAGACAUCAGAUGAUGAGACCAAAUUCUUGGACUUUGAAGUGUAGCUAAACUUUUUUCAACCUAGGGGGUGUUUUUCUCUGGGGGGGAAAUGUGACGAUGACUGUAUACCACCGCCUAGGUUUCAGUCAUGUCACCAAUUAACCUGGAAGUGGAAGUGUAUUUAAACGGCAUACCGGAAGUAAGUCAGAGAGAAGUGUGGGAGAGAGGAGUAAUGAGUUGGGUGGUAAAGGGUUUUUUUGUAUGCCAGAAAGAGGACGUUUUUGCCACAGCGUGUGAGAAGUCUGAGCGUCACGAAUGCCAACACAUGGGGAACUAGUCUGCGUGUUAUUCGGUGAUCAGACUUGCAAAUGGAUUACUUACGGAUGUAAGAAGUUGCGGGACUCUCAGACAUUGUCUGCUGUGUGGCACUCGUGCUGGAAAGCUCCAAAGACAUGUUUUGCUUGGAUUCGGCGUGUUAUCCGCUGAUCGGACUUGCAAAUGGAUUACUUACGGAUGUAAGAAGUUGCGGGACUCUCAGACAUCGUCUGCUGUGUGGCACUCGUGCUGGAAAGCUCAAAAGUCCAGGUCCCCGAGGUACUUGUUCUAAACUCUUCUUCCCCUGACCUAAGAGGUUUUUCUCCAUCACACUUCAUACACAAACACAUCGAAUACCCCUACACCUACAAACACAUCAUAUGCGCUUUCUAUCAACCGUGUUUAGCUAUCAUUUUUGUUUGUGUUAUUGCUUGAUAAUUUGGAGGGACAGUAAUACGUCAUACAUUUCUUUUGAUUGGGAAUUCAAUUGAUUUAGUUUUUCCCUAUUUGAGUUUCGUGAUUAUUGUUUUGAUGUUGAUUAUGGAGACGUGAAAAGUGUGAAUUGAUUUUUUUUUUGAAGUGAAACAAAAACCCAAGUAAACGAUACAUUUGAUGUUUAAUACUGAAAUCUGUGUUUGUGCAAUAAUUUUAUCUUUUUAUGUAAUUGGUGGUAAGAGCUAAGCUGGGUUAUAUUAAGAGUUACCCUUACAUCACUGAUAUACACAAUUGGUGGAUUUAAGUCCACCUGGCGCCCAACUUGUAUUCUUUUACAUUAUUGCUAUAAAACAGAUCUAGGGUGUUAAGGGAGAGCCACCGUUACAGCAACAAGCGCUCUACUCCCUAAACGACACAAUUUAUGCUGCCAGCCUUUCCGGCUUUUAUCCUUGUCCUAAAUUUUCACUGUCUAGCAAGGAGAGAGAGAAACUUGUCUUUUGAUCAUUCAUCUGCAGAUGAAUGAAACCGCUUUCUCUCUCCCUGGCAGACAUGAGCUUGUCCUAUUUUCUCAGUUUUUUGCUUCUGUUUCCCUGGGCCAGUGGAGAGUAAGUAGUAUCCCAGGGCUGACCGACAGGGACGAGUGAAUGGUUUGCAAAGAAAGAAAGAAGUUUGAAGAGAGAGGUUUGACUUCACAGUUUCUCCUCUGUCAGAUCUGACACGUCUCUGCUUGAGAGGAUGAUGGGAGGUGCAGGUGAUUGAUACAGUGAGUGAAACUACAGUACUGUGGGUCAGUUUAAACAAGUGUCUGGUGUGUUUUGUGUGUUUCAGAGGGUGUUUGAUGUGGUGUAUCCAAUGGCCCCAGACCAGAGGAGACACGUCAGUAUAAAUUCUGCUUGCUGGCUGCCUGAAGCAGGGCUUGGACUUGCUUAAGGAACCAACAAAGGAGAUCUGGUCAUCUGCAGACCUUGAUGUAAAUGGCGACAGCUCUUGUCAACCCUCAGAGACCACGUUCACCAUCAAUAAUAGUUGAGGGGUGGAAUUCGCAGGAGGAGGAGCGGAGAGAGGAUAGGAUCAACCAACCCUCGGCCCUCCUAUUGCCAGCCCAGAUCAAGACUCAUGACAGGAGCACGGUGCUGAGUGGAAGGGCACAACAAAAGACUGCUGACAUCAUGACCAGCAGGACGGAUUGGGCUUCAAAUAGAGAGAUGGGCCUGAUGAAUCCCAUUGGUCUGCAACCACGACAUCCUGCCCCAGAUGUUCCAUCACAGGGGACACAAAUGCAACGUUUACAGAAUGCAGAGACGCAACCGAACCGUAACCUUGAGGAUUAACCUCAGCAGCCCAGCACUUCUCAGGGGUCGCAAGUUACUGAUGGUCAGGAGUAUGUUUCACGUAUCCAAAUGUUAAUGGCAGAAGGAGGAAGGACUACAGUUGUCCACCACUAUGGCUUCCAUGGGCAGCUUCAGCAAAAACAUUGUUAUCGGCCACUGUAUUCAUCGUGGCUCCCAGACAGGAGUGGAUGCACAGAGCCACGCCCUUUCAUGCCCCGCUCGUGGCCGCUCCUGUGUCUUUGGCUGAAGCCGCAAGCUACUGCUCCCGAAUUAUUACCAACACGCUGGGGCAUCAUACUAACACAGACCAGGGCUCUUCUACAGGGGUAGACGUGGCACCCUUUGUAGAACAGGAGAGACUUCACACCUCCCUCCUUUCAAAGGAGUUUUCCCCUCUUUUCUCAUCUGCUCCAGACACAAAUGGCCCAUCCGCUUCCAUGGAAACAGGCAGUGUCUUGGAGGGGGAAGAGCUUCAUGAUCUCACAUCCCUACCUCCAUCCUUACUUUCAUCCUCACCCUCUCUUUCGCCUGUGCAUAACAAUAACUACAGAAGAAGUGAGAAUAGUUAUCAUGGAGAUGAGUACGGGAGGUCAAAGACAGGCUGUAGAUUUAUUAAAACCAGCACAUCGUAAACUUCUAGAAAUAUUUGCACUUAACUGUUGUGUUCCCCUGCCAUCAGCAUAAGGAUUACAAAAUCUUUACCCAGUUUUUUGAGUUGGUCAUUUAAGCCAGAGAAGAUGAAAUAAACAUGACAACAGGAAAGAUGGAAGGUUUUAUAAGUAUUAUAAAAUUGUCUUGCUCUGACCCUAAAAUAUUUUCUGAAAGGUUGUGUGACCCUUCACUUCCCUAACUGACUCCAACAUUUACAGUAAACACAGUGUGAGACUCAGACAGUCACACCAUGAAAAAAUCAGACAGAUGUGUAUGUGCAUGUGAGAGAGACACUAACCCAGUUCUGUCAUUUACUGUAGGUUUUUUAAAGCCCUUUCGAAAGUUAAGCAGACACCUGACAACAUUUGUGUUGCAUCCGUUCCUUUCAUUUCUUAUGUAGCACUCUGGUUCCGAUCUGCUGUCUCAGAAAACAGUUCAGAGAGGCUGUGUGUUCAGAGACUGUCCAUGACGUUGAACUUCAAAGUGUGUCCCGGCCUCUGUUGUUGAGCUUUCUGAAUUUUAGACUCAUUUUGGCUUCAGUAGUUUUAGGCUUUGACCAGCUGUCCACAAACAAAAUCCCACUGGAACUGUUAGCACUGAUAAGGGCUCUCAACUAGAGUUACCAGUAAACAUGAUGAAAAUAUCUCAUCUGGUGAAGUGUACCUUCUGUUGACAUGUAACUUUAGGGAAAGGCUUCGUAAUGUGAAGUCUCUGUUUGAAAAUUCUGGCCAGCCGUUUCAUACGGAGAGUUACUGCACAAGAAAGGUGGACGUCUGAAUGUUUUUAUGUUGUAUUCGCACCUUAAUGCAUAAUUUUCUGCAUUGCUUCUUUUGGCAAACUACUUUAUCCUUUAAAUGAAUUUCUGGCAAUGUCCCCAGCAUCUUGUCACAGAGCACAACCCUCAUUUUCUGGUAAACAAUGAAACCUCUGCUUUUAGAAUUCUGCUCACUAGCCUCGACUACAGUAAAAAACAACAGUUUUAGUACUUCAUGUGUUUGGUCUGGAGGACAGAUGAAAGUGGUUGUUUUCUCAUGUGUACUCUUCUGAUGGUUUAUCUACUUAACAUUAAAAGUGACUUUAUUUUUGUC